GUCCCCGUAGCUCAGUGGUUUUAGAGCGCCGGUAGCCUUGCAUUACUAAAAAAAGCAUUGAUUUAACUUGACCUUAAUGAGUGAAAAGUGCAACGAUAACGAGGUCCGCGGUUCGAAUUCGCGUGGGGACA